rnacentral:rRNA from 1 species
UACGGGGGGGGCAAGCGUUGUUCGGAUUCAUUGGGCGUAAAGGGUGUGUAGGUGGCGCCGUAAGUCGGGUGUGAAAUCUCGGGGCUUAACUCCGAAACUGCAUUCGAUACUGCGGUGCUUGAGGACUGGAGAGGAGACUGGAAUUCAUGGUGUAGCAGUGAAAUGCGUAGAGAUCAUGAGGAAGACCAGUGGCGAAGGCGGGUCUCUGGACAGUUCCUGACGCUGAGGCACGAAGGUCAGGGGAGCAAACGGGG